rnacentral:rRNA from 1 species
CAGUCGCCGCGGGAAUACGUAGGUCCCGAGCGUUGUCCGGAUUUAUUGGGCGUAAAGCGAGCGCAGGCGGUUAGAUAAGUCUGAAGUUAAAGGCUGUGGCUUAACCAUAGUACGCUUUGGAAACUGUUUAACUUGUGUGCAAGAGGGGGGAGUGGAAUUCCAUGUGUAGCGGUGAAAUGCGUAGAUAUAUGGAGGAACACCGGUGGCGAAAGCGGCUCUCUGGCUUGUAACUGACGCUGAGGCUCGAAAGCGUGGGGCGCAAACAGGAUUAGAUACCCCCGUAGUCCCUGUCUCUUAUACA